GAUGAACGCUAGCUACAGGCUUAACACAUGCAAGUCGAGGGGAAACGAUAGAGAAAGCUUGUUUUUUCUAGGCGUCGACCGGCGCACGGGUGAGUAACGCGUAUCCAACCUGCCCAUCACUUGGGGAUAACCUUGCGAAAGUAAGACUAAUACCCAAUGAUAUCUCUAGAAGACAUCUGAAGGAGAUUAAAGAUUUAUCGGUGAUGGAUGGGGAUGCGUCUGAUUAGCUUGUUGGCGGGGUAACGGCCCACCAAGGCGACGAUCAGUAGGGGUUCUGAGAGGAAGGUCCCCCACAUUGGAACUGAGACACGGUCCAAACUCCUACGGGAGGCAGCAGUGAGGAAUAUUGGUCAAUGGGCGAGAGCCUGAACCAGCCAAGUAGCGUGCAGGAUGACGGCCCUAUGGGUUGUAAACUGCUUUUAUAAGGGAAUAAAGUGAGCCUCGUGAGGCUUUUUGCAUGUACCUUAUGAAUAAGGACCGGCUAAUUCCGUGCCAGCCGCCGCGGUAA
rnacentral:rRNA from 1 species